UUGCUAGAGGUGAGAUUAUGGGAUUUACUGAAGACUAACUCUGCGAAAGCAUUUGCCAAGGAUGUUUUCACUAAUCAAGACCGAAGGUUAGGGGAUCGAAAACGAUCAGAUCCCGUUGUAGUCUUAACAGUAAACCAUGCCGACUAGGGAUCGGGCGGUGUUAUUUUUUUGAAUCGCUCGGCACCUUACGAGAAAUCAAAGUCUUUGGGUUUUGGGGGGAGUAUGGUCGCAAGGCUGAAACUUAAAGGAAUCGACGGAAGGGCACCACCAGGAGUGGAGCCUGCGGCUUAAUUGGACUCAACACGGGGAAACUCACCAGGUCCAGACAAUAUAAGGAUUGACAGAUUGAUAGCUCUUUCUUGAUUUAUUGGGUGGUGGUGCAUGGCCGUUCUUAGUUGGUGGAGUGAUUUGUCUGGUUAAUUCCGAUAACGAAGGAGACCUUAACUUGCUAAAUAGCCAGGCAGGCCUUUGUAGGUCGCCGUCUUCUUAGAGGGACUAUCAGCAUCUAGAUGAUGGAAGUUUGAUGCAAUAACAGGUCUGUGAUGCUUUUAGAUGUUUUGGGCCGCACGCGCGCUACACUGACAGAGCCAGCGAGUUUAUAACCUUGGCCGGAAGGUUUGGGUAGUCGAGGGAAAUUGCGUGGAUUAGGUGAAGAAUCAUUACAAUUCUUGCUUUUAGUAAGGGAAUUUCUAGUAAGUGUGAGUCAUCAGCUCGCGUUGAUUACGUCCCUGCCUGUAUAACACAUGCGCC
rnacentral:rRNA from 1 species